AUGAACGCUAGCGACAGGCUUAACACAUGCAAGUCGAGGGGCAGCACAGGUAGCAAUACCGGGUGGCGACCGGCGCACGGGUGAGUAACGCGUAUGCAACUUGCCUAUCAGAGGGGGAUAACCCGGCGAAAGUCGGACUAAUACCGCAUGAAGCAGGGAUCCCGCAUGGGAAUAUUUGCUAAAGAUUCAUCGCUGAUAGAUAGGCAUGCGUUCCAUUAGGCAGUUGGCGGGGUAACGGCCCACCAAACCGACGAUGGAUAGGGGUUCUGAGAGGAAGGUCCCCCACAUUGGUACUGAGACACGGACCAAACUCCUACGGGAGGCAGCAGUGAGGAAUAUUGGUCAAUGGCCGAGAGGCUGAACCAGCCAAGUCGCGUGAGGGAUGAAGGUUCUAUGGAUCGUAAACCUCUUUUAUAAGGGAAUAAAGUGCGGGACGUGUCCCGUUUUGUAUGUACCUUAUGAAUAAGGAUCGGCUAACUCCGUGCCAGCAGCCGCGGUAAUACGGAGGAUCCGAGCGUUAUCCGGAUUUAUUGGGUUUAAAGGGUGCGUAGGCGGCCUUUUAAGUCAGCGGUGAAAGUCUGUGGCUCAACCAUAGAAUUGCCGUUGAAACUGGGAGGCUUGAGUAUGUUUGAGGCAGGCGGAAUGCGUGGUGUAGCGGUGAAAUGCAUAGAUAUCACGCAGAACCCCGAUUGCGAAGGCAGCCUGCCAAGCCAUUACUGACGCUGAUGCACGAAAGCGUGGGGAUCAAACAGGAUUAGAUACCCUGGUAGUCCACGCAGUAAACGAUGAUCACUAGCUGUUUGCGAUACACUGUAAGCGGCACAGCGAAAGCGUUAAGUGAUCCACCUGGGAGUACGCCGGCAACGGUGAAACUCAAAGGAAUUGACGGGGGCCCGCACAAGCGGAGGAACAUGUGGUUUAAUUCGAUGAUACGCGAGGAACCUUACCCGGGUUUGAACGCAUUCGGACCGAGGUGGAAACACCUUUUCUAGCAAUAGCCGUUUGCGAGGUGCUGCAUGGUUGUCGUCAGCUCGUGCCGUGAGGUGUCGGCUUAAGUGCCAUAACGAGCGCAACCCUUGCCACUAGUUACUAACAGGUAAAGCUGAGGACUCUGGUGGGACUGCCAGCGUAAGCUGCGAGGAAGGCGGGGAUGACGUCAAAUCAGCACGGCCCUUACAUCCGGGGCGACACACGUGUUACAAUGGCGUGGACAAAGGGAGGCCACCUGGCGACAGGGAGCGAAUCCCCAAACCACGUCUCAGUUCGGAUCGGAGUCUGCAACCCGACUCCGUGAAGCUGGAUUCGCUAGUAAUCGCGCAUCAGCCAUGGCGCGGUGAAUACGUUCCCGGGCCUUGUACACACCGCCCGUCAAGCCAUGGGAGCCGGGGGUACCUGAAGUCCGUAACCGCGAGGAUCGGCCUAGGGUAAAACUGGUGACUGGGGCU
rnacentral:rRNA from 1 species